UACAGAGGUCUCAAGCGUUGUUCGGAUUCAUUGGGCGUAAAGGGUGCGUAGGCGGCGCGGUAAGUCGGGUGUGAAAUCUCGGAGCUUAACUCCGAAACUGCAUUCGAUACUGCGGUGCUCGAGUACUGGAGAGGAGAUUGGAAUUUACGGUGUAGCAGUGAAAUGCGUAGAUAUCGUAAGGAAGACCAGUGGCGAAGGCGAAUCUCUGGACAGUUACUGACACUGAGGCACGAAGGCCAGGGGAGCAAACGGG
rnacentral:rRNA from 1 species